UUUUUUUCACCUCCCCCUUUCCCUUAUUCCAAAAAUGAUCUCAAUUCAAAUACUAAUAGAGUUUGCAACCAUAACUACUCAUUUAAAUAUAUCAUAAAAUAUUAAAAUAUAAAAUGUCAUACAGUCAUGGUUAAAAUUAAUAUUAAUUAAUAGUAACUUCUAAAAAAAAAAAUGGGAAAUGUGUCCAAAGGGACACAGACGAUGCCCCCGCUAGCAUAUAACAUUAUACAGGGACAUAACUUUAGAACUGUUAAAGUGAAGCUGCAAAAAAUUGAACUGAGUUUAGAAGUAAUAAGCAUUAUAUACACAUUUCAUUAAAUUUAGUUGAGACAAACUUAAGUUAAGAGAAC
rnacentral:lncRNA from 1 species